GCGACAUUGGUGUAGCGGUUAGCAUUGAAGCCUUCCAUUGAGAAUAGCUUUAGUCCUGGGUUCGAAUCCCGGAUGUCGCA